rnacentral:misc_RNA from 1 species
GGAGAACCUGCGGCUGGAUCACCUCCUUUCUAUGGAGAAAUCUAGCAAACAUGACGUUUGACUAGUACAAAGAUGCAAAGCAUCUAUAAAAAUUAUAACUUGCUCAAAGGUUACUUAAUGAGUAUUGAUUCUGUUCAAUUUUGAAAGACUAGGUCUUUCAAGAAAUAUGGGGGUAUAGCUCAGUUGGGAGAGCACCUGCCUUGCACGCAGGGGGUCAAGAGUUCGAAUCUCUUUAUCUCCACCAUUAAGAUUUAAGUUAAAUUAAAUCUUUAAAUGUUCUUUGAAAAUUGCACAUAGAUUAAUGUAUAUAAUACAACAAAGCCAAGAAUAAUAUUCUUUGUGAAUGAUUAAUAUAACCAGUUUUGUAUAUCAAAACUUAAAAAGGUCAAGCUACAAAGGGCGCAUGGUGAAUGCCUUGGCAUCAGGAGCCGAUGAAGGACGUGAUAAGCUGCGAUAAGCUUCGGGUAGGCGCACAUAGCCAGAGAUCCGGAGAUUU